AAAAGCAGUGGCUCCACAGUUAAUCAGUUUUAUUGCUCAUGUUUCAUAACAAUCUAUAGGAUCCCAUAAAGGUCAUCAUAAAUUUUAGGCAAAUACACAUUGUGCUUUUAUUUCCCUUCAGAAUUACAAUGAGCAACUAUGUUUAUCAAUAACAUUUGGCCAAGUUAUAUUACCUUAAGUGGCAUUCAGGGUGUAAAUAAUAACUUUUUAUUUUUAGAAUCUUCCUUUUAUGUCUUCAUUUGCUUUUCAACAUAAGCAGAGCCAAUCUGGGUCGCUUUGGCAAUACUGACUCGUGGCAAGAAGGCUCUGGGUUCAAGCUCAAUUUCUGCUUGGAGUUUGUGUGUUCUCAUACAGAGUAAGACUAAGGUUUUAGAAAACGACAACGAUUUAAUCAAACAAGAUGUAAAAUAUUUACUUCAACCUCAAAAAAUACAGAUAAGUAAAAUAUAAAGCUGAAAAA